GGUUAGGUGGCUGAGAAAAUAGGCGGUAGAUUGUAAAUUUACAAACGAGAUAACGAUCUCUCUAAUCA
rnacentral:tRNA from 1 species